rnacentral:rRNA from 1 species
UACGUAGGGUGCAAGCGUUAAUCGGAAUUACUGGGCGUAAAGCGUGCGCAGGCGGUUGUGCAAGACCGAUGUGAAAUCCCCGGGCUUAACCUGGGAAUGGCAUUGGUGACUGUACGGCUAGAGUGUGUCAGAGGGGGUAGAAUUCCACGUGUAGCAGUGAAAUGCGUAGAGAUGUGGAGGAAUACCGAUGCGAAGGCAGCCCCCUGGGAUAACACUGACGCUCAUGCACGAAAGCGUGGGGAGCAAACAGG